GCCAGGUGUGGUGGCACAUACCUGUAAUCCCAGCUACUUGGGAGGCUGAGGCAGGAGAAUUGCUUGAACCCAGGAGGCAGAGGUUGCAGUGAGCCAAGAUGGCAUCACUGCACUCCAGCCUGGGCAACAAAGCAAGACUCUGUCUCAA
ensembl:misc_RNA Metazoa_SRP Metazoan signal recognition particle RNA